rnacentral:rRNA from 1 species
AGUGAACGCUGGCGGUAGGCCUAACACAUGCAAGUCGAACGGCAGCACAGUAAGAGCUUGCUCUUACGGGUGGCGAGUGGCGGACGUGUGAGGAAUACAUCGGAAUCUACUUUUUCUUGGGGGAUAACGUAGGGACACUUACGCUAAUACCGCAUACUCCCUACGGGUGAAAGCAGGUGAUCUUCGGACCUUUUGCGAUUUAAUGAGCCGAUGUCGGAUUAGCUAGUUGGCGGGGUAAAGGCCCACCAAGGCGACGAUCCGUAGAUGGUCUGAGAGGAUGAUCAGCCACACUGGAACUGAGACACGGUCCAGACUCCUACGGGAGGCAGCAGUGGGGAAUAUUGGACAAUGGGCGCAAGCCUGAUCCAGCCAUACCGCGUGGGUGAAGAAGGCCUUCGGGUUGUAAAGCCCUUUUGUUGGGAAAGAAAAGCAGCAGGUUAAUACCCCGCUGUUCUGACGGUACCCAAAGAAUAAGCACCGGCUAACUUCGUG